AUUGAACGCUGGCGGCAUGCCUUACACAUGCAAGUCGAACGGUAACGGGCCUUCGGGUGCUGCCGUGUGGCGGACGGGCGGGUAAUACAUCAGAACGUGCCCGACCGCGGGGGGUAACGAGGCGAAAGCUUUACUCAUACCCCAUACGCUCUUCGCAUGACAGCACGGGACCGCAAGGCCUUGCGCCGUCUGAGCGUCCGAUGGCGGAUUAGGUAGUUGGUGGGUUAAAAGCUUACCAAGCCGACGAUCUGUAGCUGGUCUGAGAGGAUGAUCAGCCACACUGGAACUGAGACACGGCCCAGACUCCUACGGGAGGCAGCAGUGGGGAAUUUUGGACAAUGGGCGCAAGCCUGAUCCAGCCAUGCCGCGUGUAUGAUGAAGGCCUUCGGGUUGUAAACUGCUUUUGUACGGAACGAAAAGCCUUCUUUUAAUACAGGUGGGUCAUGACGUUACCGGAAGAAGAAGCACCGGCUAACUACGUG
rnacentral:rRNA from 1 species